rnacentral:lncRNA from 1 species
UUGAACUUGAGUUUGUGUCGUGUUUGAAGUUUGUGGCAACUUAUGAACUUGAGUUUGUUUGGCUUGAUUUUUUGGCAAAUGUUGAACUUGAGUCUAUGGUUUUUAGUGAACUUUAGUUGGUGGCAAUUGUUGAACUUUUGUUUGUGGCGUUCGUUGAACUUGAGUUUGUGGUGUUCAUUGAACUUGAGUUUGUGGCAUAUUUGAACUUGAGUUUAUUAUGUUUUUUGAACUUGAGGUUCUGGUGUUUUCUAACUUAAGUUUGUGGAAAUUGUUGAACUUGAGGAUCGGGUGUUGCUUGAACUUGACUUGUUGUGUUUGUUGAACUUGAGUUUGUGGUGUUUGUUGAACUUGAGUUUGUGUGGUGUUUUUGAACUUGAGUUUGUGAAGUGUUUGAACUUGAGUUUGUGUUUUUUUUAACCUUGAGGUUGUGGCAAUUGUUAAACUUGAGAAUCGGGUGGUGGUUGAACUUGAGUUUGUGGUGUUCAUUGAACUUGAGUUUGUGGCAUAUUUGAACUUGAGUUUAUCAUGUUUUUUGAACUAGAGGUUCUGGUGUUUUUUAACUUAAGUUUGUGGAAAUUGUUGAACUUGAGGAUCGGGUGUUGCUUGAACUUGACUUGUUGUGUUUGUUGAACUUGAGUUUUAGUCCUUGAGCCAAGAACCAAAAUUUCACAUAUCGGUACCACCUAGGUGGGCAAAUUCUAGUUGUGAUUUUUUUAUACAUCCCUACAAUAAGUUUUUAUUUGAUAGACCUUGGUAACAGGUAGCUUUAUUGUAGUUAUUACUCAUUGAAGUAAUAGAGUGCAGCUGUUCAAAAACGAAAAAUCGCCUUCCUUCAAAAUGAGCUUUCUUUCAUUUUAACCUCUCAUUUAGGUGUGUUUGAACUAUUGGCUAGCCAUAGAGACUUGUAUUAACCCCCUAAGUAGUAUUUCAAGUAAUUUAUCUAAUACAGGUGUGUAUAUAUAAGCUUCAAUUAGCUAAUUGUCAGGUCUAAAUCAAGGUCUAAAUUAAGGAUAUUUUUUGACUUAGAAAUAGAAAUAAAAUAAAUGCAGACUAAUAGCAUUAUAAUAACACAACUUUAAUAUGACACUGACAUAUUUUAAAUGUAGGCACUCAAUAUACAAUCAUCCUGGCUGGUGCAGGGCAAGAAGACAUUAGCAACAAAAUAAGAUCUACUGAUGUAUACACUCUAUACAAUCAUCUGAGAAAAACUCCAAUUCCUAUUCAAAGUCCUAUUCUUUCCAUAAGGAACAGUGACGGCAAAUAUGGCUUAGCACAUAAUUCUGUCACUGAGUCACAGUGGGUCUGCUAACAUAGCUCCCUUUGGUCAUCACUUAUUAAUCAACAUCAGUAAUCGACAUCAGUAUCUGUAUCUUCUUCUACAUCUGAAUCUGCCGGUGUGCAAGGGGCUCUUCCUCACUGUACUGGUUGGCACAAGUUUGUAAUUUGCACAGGUUUGUGCACUUCAGCCCAUUGCUGAGACAGGUGCAGUCUGGUGGUUUGCAUGUCCUCACACACUUCAGUUUGUGGUGUUUUUGAACUUCAGUUUGUGGCACUUUUUUAACUUUUAAGUUUUUGGCAAUUGUUAAAUGUGAGUUUAGGUCAUUUGUUGAACUUGAAAUUUUGGAAUUUGUUGAACUUAAGAUUGUGGUGUUUGUUGAACUUGAGUUUGUGGCAAUUGUUGAACUUGAGUCUGUAUUUUUCUCUGAACUUUAGUUGGUGGCAAUUGUUGAACUUGAGUUUGUGGUGUUUUUGCACCUGAGUUUGUGUCGUGUUUGAACUUGAGUUUGUGUUGUUUUUGAACUAGAGGUUGUGGCAAUUGUUAAACUUGAGAUUUGGGUCUUGGUUGAACUUGAGUUUGUGGUGUUUUUUGGACUUGAGUUUGUGUCGUGUUUGAAUUUUAGUUUGUGUGUUUUUUUAUCUUAAGUUUGUGGCAAUUAAUGAACUUGAGUUUGUUGAACUUGAGUUUGUGGUCUUUGUUGAACUUGAGUUUGUGGUUUUUAGUGAACUGUAGUUGGUGGCAUCUUUGAACUUGAGUUUGUAGCAUUUGUUGAACUUGAGUUUGUGAUGUGUUUGAACUUGUGUUUGUGGAAUUUGUUGAACCUGAGUUUGUGUCGUGUUUGGUUUUUUGAACUUGAGGUUGUGGAAAUUGUUAAACUUGAGACUUGGGAUUUGGUUGAACUUGAGUUUGUGUCAUGUUUGAACUUGAGUUUGUGAUGUGUUUGAACUUGUGUUUGUGGAAUUUGUUGAACUUGAGUUUGUGUCGUGUUUGAACUUGAGUUUGUGGUGUUUUUGAACUUGAGUUUGUGUCGUGUUUGAACUUGAGUUUGUGUCGUGUUUGAACUUGAGGUUGUGGCAAUUGUUAAACUUGAGAUUUGGGUGUUGGUUGAACUUGAGAUUGUGCCUUUUUUUGAAUUUGAGUUUGUGGCAUGUUUGAACUUGAGUUUCUGUUGUUUUUGAACUUGAGGUUGUGGAAAUUGUUAAACUUGAGGUUUGGGUGUUGGUUGAUCUUGAGUUUGUGUCUUGUUUGAACUUUUGUUUUUGGAUUUUUUGAACUAGAGUUUGUGUGUUUUUUGAACAUAAGAUUGUGGCAACUUAUGAACUUGAGUAUGUUGAAAUUAAGUUUGUGGCAAAUGUUGCACUUGAGUUUGUGGUUUUUUUUACUUGAGUUUGUGUCGUGUUUUUGAACUUGAGUUUGUGGUGUUUUUGAACUUGAGUUUGUUUUGUGUUUGAAAUUGAGUUUGUGGUGUUUUUGAACUUGAGUUUGUGUGUUUUUGAACUUGAGUUUGUGGUGUUUUUGAACUUCAGUUUGUGGCACUUUUUUAACUUGAGUUUGUUGAACUUUAGUUUUUGGCAAUUGUUAAAUGUGAGUUAAGGUUGAACUUGAAAUUUUGGAAUUUGUUGAACUUAAGAAUGUGGUGUUUGUUGAACUUGAGUUUGUGGCAAUUGUUGAACUUGAGUUUUUGCGUGUUUGAACUUGAGUUAGUGGUGUUUUUGAACUUGAGGUUUUGGCAAAUGUUAAACUUGAUAUUUGGGUGUUGUUUGAACUUGAGUUUGUGUCGUGUUUGAACUUGAAUUUGUGUCGUGUUUGAACUUGAGUUUGUGUCGUGUUUGAACUUGAGGUUGUGGCAAUUGUUAAACUUGAGAUUUGGGUGUUGGUUGAACUUGAGAUUGUGCCUUUUUUUGAAUUUGAGUUUGUGGCAUGUUUGAACUUGAGUUUCUGUUGUUUUUGAACUUGAGGUUGUGGAAAUUGUUAAACCUGAGAUUUGGGUGUUGAUUGAACUUGAGUUUUUUGUUGUGUUUUAACUUGAGUUUGUGGUGUUUUUGAAAUUGAGUUUGUGGCGUGUUUGAACUUGAAUUCGUGGUGUUUUAGAACUUUAGUUUGUGUGUUUGUUGAACUUGAGUUUUUGGCGUGUUUUAACUUGAGUUUGUGGUGUUUUUGAAGUUGAGGUUGUGGCAAUUUUAAAACUAGAGACUUGGGUGUUGGUUGAAAUUCAGUUUUUGGCCUUAUUUGAACUUGAGUUUUUGUCGUGCUUGAACUUGAGUUUGUGGCGUGUUUUUGAACUUGAGUUUGUCUGUAUGUUGAAAUUGAGUUUUUGGCGUGUUUGAACUUGAGUUUGUUUUGUUUUUGAACUUGAGGUUUUUGAAAUUGUUUAACUUAAGAAUUGGGUAUUGAUUGAACUUGAGUUUGUGUGUUUGUUGAACUUUAGUUUGUGUCAUUUAGAACUUAAGUUUGUGGUGUUUUUGAACUUGAAGAUCUUGAAAUUGUUAAACCUGAGAAUUGGGUAAUGGUAAAACUUGAGAUUUGGGAUUAGGUUGAACUAUAGUUUGUGUCCUGUUUGAACUUGAGAUUGUGGUGUUUUUGAACUUGAAUUUUUUUUUUUAACUUGAGUUUGUGGAGUUUUUGAAUUUGAGUUUCUGUUGUCUUUGAACUUGAAGUUGUUGCAAUUGUUAAACUUGAGAUUUGGGUGUUGGUUGAACUUCAGAUUCGGUGUUGUAGUGUUUUUGAACUUGAAUUUGUGUGUUUUUUGAACUUGAGUUUGUUGCAAUUUUUGAACUUGAGUUUGUUAAACGUGAGUUUUUGGCAAUUGUUAAAUGUGAGUUUAGGUCAUUCGUUGAAUUUGAAAUGUUGGCAUUUUUUGAACUUAAGAUUGUGGUGUUUGUUGAACUUGAGUUUGUGGCGUGUUUGAACUUGAGUUUGUGUCGUGUUUGAACUUUAGUUACUGUUGUUUUUUCACUUGAGGUUGUGGCAAUUGUUAAACUUAAGAUUAGGGUGCUGGUUUAACUUGAGUUUGUGUCCUGUUUGAACUUGAGUUUGUUUGUUGGUCUAACUUGAGUUUUUGGCGUGUUUUAACUUGAGUUACUGUUGUUUUUUAACUUGAGGUUGUGGCAAUUGUUAAACUUGAGAUUUGUGUGUUUGUUUAAUUGAGUUUGUGGCGUGUUUUAACUUGAGUUUCUGUUGUUUUUGAACUUAAGUUUUUGUGAUUUUUUGAACUUGAGUUGUGGUGUUUUUGAACUUGAGUUUGUAGCGUUUGUUGAACUUGAGUUUGUUGCGUGCUUUAACUUGAAUUUUUUUUGUUUUUUAACUUGAGGUUUUGGCAACUGUUAAACUUUAGAUUUGGGUUGGUUGAACUUGAGUUUCUGUUGUAUUUGAACUUAAGUUUUUGUGAUUUUUGAACUUGAGUUUGUGUGUUUUUGAACUUGAGUUUUGUGUUUUUUGAACUUGAGUUUGUGGUGUUUUUGAACUUGAGUUUUG